GACGAACGCUGGCGGCGUGCCUAAUACAUGCAAGUCGAGCGAGCGGAACUAACAGAUUUACUUCGGUAAUGACGUUAGGAAAGCGAGCGGCGGAUGGGUGAGUAACACGUGGGGAACCUGCCCCAUAGUCUGGGAUACCACUUGGAAACAGGUGCUAAUACCGGAUAAGAAAGCAGAUCGCAUGAUCAGCUUUUAAAAGGCGGCGUAAGCUGUCGCUAUGGGAUGGCCCCGCGGUGCAUUAGCUAGUUGGUAAGGUAAAGGCUUACCAAGGCGAUGAUGCAUAGCGCAGUAGAUAGACUGAGAGGCAACAGUAGGACUUCGACACGACCCAACGCCCCACGGGAGGCGCAAGUAGGGAUUAUUCAAGAAGGGACUCAAUUCGGAAGGAUCUAUGGCGGGUGAGUAAGGAAGGUUUUAGUAUCGUAAAUCUAUGUUGUUGUUGAAGAAGGAUAGAGGUAGUAACUGGCCUUUCUUUGACGGUAAGUAACCAGAAAAUCACGGCUAACUACGUG
rnacentral:rRNA from 1 species